rnacentral:rRNA from 1 species
GACGAACCGUGCGAACGUUGUUCGGAAUUACUGGGCGUAAAGGGCUCGUAGGCGGCCAACUAAGUCAGACGUGAAAUCCCUCGGCUUAACCGGGGAACUGCAUCUGAUACUGGAUGGCUUGAGAUUGGGAGAGGGAUGCGGAAUUCCAGGUGUAGCGGUGAAAUGCGUAGAUAUCUGGAGGAACACCGGUGGCGAAGGCGGCAUCCUGGACCAACACUGACGCUGAGGAGCGAAAGCCAGGGGAGCAAACGGG